rnacentral:rRNA from 1 species
AACGAACGCUGGCGGCAGGCCUAACACAUGCAAGUCGAGCGGACCCUUCGGGGUUAGCGGCGGACGGGUGAGUAACGCGUGGGAAUAUGCCCUUCUCUACGGAAUAGUCCUGGGAAACUGGGGGUAAUACCGUAUACGCCCUUUGGGGGAAAGAUUUAUCGGGGAAGGAUUAGCCCGCGUUGGAUUAGGUAGUUGGUGGGGUAAUGGCCUACCAAGCCGACGAUCCAUAGCUGGUUUGAGAGGAUGACCAGCCACACUGGGACUGAGACACGGCCCAGACUCGUACGGGAGGGAGCAGUGGGGAAUCUUAGACGAUGGGGGCAACCCUGAUCUAGCCAUGCCGCGUGAGUGAUGAAGGGCUUAGGGUUGUAAAGCUCUUUGAGCUGGGAAGAUAAUGACGGUACCAGCAGAAGAAGCCCCGGCUAACUCCGUG